AAUCAACGCUGGCGGCGUGCCUAACACAUGCAAGUCGAGCGAGAGGGAGUAGCAAUACUCUAGUAAAGCGGCGCACGGGUGAGUAACACGUGGGUAAUCUGCCUCGAAGUGGGGAAUAACACCGGGAAACCGGUGCUAAUACCGCAUAAUCUGACGGGAUCUGCGGAUUUUGUCAGCAAAGGAGCAAUUCGCUUUGAGAGGAGCCCGCGGCUGAUUAGCUAGUUGGUGAGGUAAUGGCUCACCAAGGCCACGAUCAGUAGCCGGUCUGAGAGGACGGUCGGCCACACUGGAACUGAGACACGGUCCAGACUCCUACGGGAGGCAGCAGUGGGGAAUUUUUCGCAAUGGGGGCAACCCUGACGAAGCAACGCCGCGUGGAUGAUGAAGUCUCUUGGGACGUAAAAUCCCUUAGACGGGGACGAAACCGCAAGGUUGACGGUACCCGUAGAAGAAGCCACGGCUAACUACGUGCCAGCCGCCGCCGUAAUAC
rnacentral:rRNA from 1 species